AUUGAACGCUGGCGGCAUGCUUUACACAUGCAAGUCGAACGGUAACAGGCCGCAAGGUGCUGACGAGUGGCGAACGGGUGAGUAAUGCAUCGGAACGUGCCCAGUCGUGGGGGAUAACGCAGCGAAAGCUGCGCUAAUACCGCAUACGAUCUAUGGAUGAAAGCGGGGGACCGUAAGGCCUCGCGCGAUUGGAGCGGCCGAUGUCAGAUUAGGUAGUUGGUGGGGUAAAGGCUCACCAAGCCAACGAGCUGUAGCUGGUCUGAGAGGACGACCAGCCACACUGGGACUGAGGCACGGCCCAGACUCCUACGGGAGGCAGCAGUGGGGAAUUUUGGGCAAUGGGCGCAAGCCUGAUCCAGCAAUGCCGCGUGCAGGAAGAAGGCCUUCGGGUUGUAAACUGCUUUUGUACGGAACGAAACGGUCUGGGUUAAUACCUCGGGCUAAUGACGGUACCGUAAGAAUAAGCACCGGCUAACUACGUGCCAGCCGCCGCGGUAAAAC
rnacentral:rRNA from 1 species